rnacentral:rRNA from 1 species
AACGGGUGAGUAACACGUGGGUAACCUGCCCAUCAGAAGGGGAUAACACUUGGAAACAGGUGCUAAUACCGUAUGACAAUCGAAACCGCAUGGUUUCGGUUUGAAAGGCGCUUUUGCGUCACUGAUGGAUGGACCCGCGGUGCAUUAGCUAGUUGGUGAGGUAACGGCUCACCAAGGCAACGAUGCAUAGCCGACCUGAGAGGGUGAUCGGCCACAUUGGGACUGAGACACGGCCCAAACUCCUACGGGAGGCAGCAUG